AUUGAACGCUGGCGGCAUGCCUUACACAUGCAAGUCGAACGGUAACAGGUCUUCGGAUGCUGACGAGUGGCGAACGGGUGAGUAAUACAUCGGAACGUGCCUAGUAGUGGGGGAUAACUACUCGAAAGAGUGGCUAAUACCGCAUGAGAUCUACGGAUGAAAGCAGGGGAUCGCAAGACCUUGUGCUACUAGAGCGGCCGGUGGCAGAUUAGGUAGUUGGUGGGAUAAAAGCUUACCAAGCCGACGAUCUGUAGCUGGUCUGAGAGGACGAUCAGCCACACUGGGACUGAGAAACGGCCCAGACUCCUACGGGAGGCAGCAGUGGGGAAUUUUGGACAAUGGGCGCAAGCCUGAUCCAGCAAUGCCGCGUGCAGGAUGAAGGCCUUCGGGUUGUAAACUGCUUUUGUACGGAACGAAAAGCCCCGGGUUAAUACCCUGGGGUCAUGACGGUACCGUAAGAAUAAGCACCGGCUAACUACGUGCCAGCCGCCGCCGUAACAC
rnacentral:rRNA from 1 species